rnacentral:lncRNA from 1 species
GAAAUGGGGAAUGUGUCAAAGAGACAACAACCCGUCCAUUGAAAAAAACAACAGUAGAAGGUCACCAACAGGUCUUCAAUGCAGCGAGAAACUCCCGCACCCAGAGGCGUCCCUCAGCUGGCCCCUAAACAAAUAUAUACAAGUUCAGUGAUAAUGAACGCCAUACUAAUUUCCAAAUUGUACACAAGAAACUAAAAUUAAAAUAAUACAAGACUAACAAAAGCCAGAGGCUCCUGGCUUGGGACAGGCGCAAAAAUGCGGCGGGGUUAAACAUGUUUGUGAGAUCUCAACCCUCCCCCUAUACCUCUAGACAA